UACGUAGGGUGCAAGCGUUGUCCGGAAUUAUUGGGCGUAAAGAGCUCGUAGGCGGUUUGUUGCGUCGGCUGUGAAAUCCCUCGGCUUAACCGGGGAACUGCGUCUGAUACUGGAUGGCUUGAGUUUGGGAGAGGGAUGCGGAAUUCCAGGUGUAGCGGUGAAAUGCGUAGAUAUCUGGAGGAACACCGGUGGCGAAGGCGGCAUCCUGGACCAACACUGACGCUGAGGAGCGAAAGCCAGGGGAGCAAACGGG
rnacentral:rRNA from 1 species